CUCCGGUUGAUCCUGCCGGACCCGACUGCUAUCGGAUUGAGAUUUAGCCAUGCGAGUCGAACGUUCCCCUGUUGCGGGGAGCGUGGCGUACGGCUCAGUAACACGUAGUCAACCUGCCCUGGAGACAAGGACAACCCCGGGAAACUGGGAUUAAUCCUUGAUAGGUCAUCUCAUCUGGAAGGAGAGAUGGCUUAAAGGGGUACGCGGGCUUCUUCCGCGAAUUCGCUCCAGGAUGGGACUGCGUCCGAUCAGGCUGUUGGCGGGGUAAUGGCCCACCAAACCUGUAACCGGUACGGGCCUUGAGAGAGGUGGCCCGGAGAUGGACACUGAGAGAAGGGUCCAGGUCCUACGGGGCGCAGCAGGCGCGAAACCUUCGCAAUGCGCGAAAGCGUGACGAGGUUAAUCCGAGUGACUCCCGCUGAGGGGGUCUUUUGUCAGCUGUAAAUAGGCAGGCGAAUAAGGGGAGGGCAAGCCUGGUGUCAGCCGCCGCGGUAAUACCAGCUCCUCGAGUGGUCGGGGCGAUUAUUGGGCCUAAAGCAUCCGUAGCCGGUUCCGUAGGUCCUCUGUUAAAUCCAACCGCUCAACGGUUGACCUGCAGAGGAUACCGCGGGACUAGGAGGCGGGAGAGGCGGACGGUACUCCGCGUGUAGGGGUAAAAUCCUUUGAUCCGCGGAAGACCACCAGUGGCGAAGGCGGUCCGCCAGAACGCGCUCGACGGUGAGGGAUGAAAGCUGGGGGAGCGAACCGGAUUAGAUACCCGGGUAGUCCCAGCCGUAAACGAUGCUAGCUAGAUGAUUCAUUCGCAAGUCGCGAAUGAAGUGUCGCAGGGAAGCCGUUAAGCUAGCCGCCUGGGGAGUACGGUCGCAAGACUGAAACUUAAAGGAAUUGGCGGGGGGAGCA
rnacentral:rRNA from 1 species